rnacentral:misc_RNA from 1 species
GCCAUCCCAGCAGCGACGACUCUUUAGUUUUUCUGUGGAGAGAAACGCAACAACAUCAUAAAUUUGUGAAGCAAAGCUAAGGUUGGUUGUUCUGUGUAUCCAAAUCUCCACAUCAAGUCUAAGGAUGAGUUAACUGGCAACUUGGUCUGGCUUAAAAGAGAUAGACAGGUUUCUUUGGAUGGCAUGACAGCUUCAGCAGUUGCCACAUCAUACUGCUGGCAAGGAUGGCCCUCGACUUAAAGCUUCACCUCACAAGGUCAUGAUCACUUGAACUAACUUGAACUCGCCUGGUAGUUAUUACUUUCUAUUCUAAAAUAUAUAUAUUUCUUAUUUCAAGAUAUUUAUUUUAUUAAAACAAACAUAUAUCUCUUAUCCCAGGAUAAUCAUUUUAGUACCAUCCCUCUAAAAGGUCCAAAUUGUUGAAGUAGAGAGAAGAAAUUGUUCCCUCUAUGUUCCAUAUGGAAAUUUCUUUUCCCUUUUUCUAUGGUUUCAUUUGUUGUCCUGCAAAAAAAAGACACAAACACAGUUUUACAGAUAGGAAAGUUUUAACGUGUAACAAGAGGUUUUUACUAGAGUAGGUGUCUCUUCUUGUAUGUACACAAAAUUCCCAUAAUUUUAACUGCCCAAAGCUCAGCUUCAUCAUAUUUUUUCGUUAGAAUUUAUUUUUGUAGUAGUUGUCACCCUUUUGUUAUAGUUGUGAAAUUGACCAUACAGUAAUCAAAUAGCUUUUAUUCCCUGUGGUGUUUGUUUAGGUGAAUUCAGAGAUCCAUCCCUCUUCACAGGCCUUUCUUUUUCUCUUUCUUGUUUUGAGCCUAGUUUGGAAAGGAUGAUUGGACAUUUUAGAUCAUUUGGUCUGGUGGCCCGCAUAAGAUUUUAUCAAGAUCCAAACUUUGUGCCACUAGAUAUUUUGGAAGAUAUCAAAUGCACUUCAUCACAUGGCAGGCAUGCUGGUAGUAGGGCGAUAGAAAUAGAUAAAAAUCCAAAAUCCUAUAAUCAAUAACAAAACGUCAGAGUAAUAUACUUUUGUCCCUCUGUACUAACUUGAAUCUCAGAUUUCUUACCCAGUUUUCUAAAUUCUUCUAAUUAAAAAGUUUUGGCAUGUUAGUUGAUAACACAAUUGAAAUUCAAUUUAAAUUGACGUUAAAUGAGUUUAGUAGUUCAGUUUUAGACAAUAUACUGUUUAAUUUUGUGUCUGUGAUUUAUUCUUUAUUCCCAUAUGAGGGAGGGCUGCUUAACUUCUUUCAUUCUUUCUUUCAAUCUAUUUGUUUUAAUUUCUUUUGAAUGGACAAUCAGUUGUGAUGGUCUUUACUGUUAGAUUGUGAAACAAUGACAAGAGUCAGGGACAGGACUGAGGAUUUUAAAGAU